rnacentral:rRNA from 1 species
UAGGGAAUCUUCGGCAAUGGACGAAAGUCUGACCGAGCAACGCCGCGUGAGUGAAGAAGGUUUUCGGAUCGUAAAACUCUGUUGUUAGAGAAGAACAAGGACGUUAGUAACUGAACGUCCCCUGACGGUAUCUAACCAGAAAGCCACGGCUAACUACGUGCCAGCAGCCGCGGUAAUACGUAGGUGGCAAGCGUUGACCGGAUUUAUUGGGCGUAAAGCGAGCGCAGGCGGUUUCUUAAGUCUGAUGUGAAAGCCCCCGGCUCAACCGGGGAGGGUCAUUGGAAACUGGGAGACUUGAGUGCAGAAGAGGAGAGUGGAAUUCCAUGUGUAGCGGUGAAAUGCGUAGGUAUAUGGAGGAACACCAGUGGCGAAGGCGGCUCUCUGGUCUGUAACUGACGCUGAGGCUCGAAAGCGUGGGGAGCAAACAGG